AGAGCUUUGGUUGUACUACUCUAAUACCCAUACAACACUGCUUUCCUUAGAGCCACAGCUACUGCUGAGAACUCAAAAACUUCUUCCUUUCCGGUGAACACGUCUAGACUUGGGCUGGGGAUGGGAUGAAGAUCUCUAACACCUUCCUGGAAAUCAAGAAGUGCAAAUAGGCCACAGGAUUCUGCUGCAAAUUCUAACAGGAGGAGGCAAUGGCAGCCCUUACUAAAACCGCAGAACUACAGGAAGAGGAUCCCUGAGUGGGAUUCCUGUGUGAAAGGCAUUUUCACCUUUUUGUGUAUCUUCAGAAUCUUAACUUUCAUGAGAGAAGAAUAGAAAUGCAACAAUGGAACAAUCCACUGUAUACACGUAGCUGACAAUUUAAUAAACUUGAAGGAAAUGCUA